UGAGUAACACGUAUCCAACCUGCCGUCUACUCUUGGACAGCCUUCUGAAAGGAAGAUUAAUACAAGAUGGCAUCAUGAGUCCGCAUGUUCACAUGAUUAAAGGUAUUCCGGUAGACGAUGGGGAUGCGUUCCAUUAGAUAGUAGGCGGGGUAACGGCCCACCAGCUCGAUGGAUAGGGGUUCUGAGAGGAAGGUCCCCCACAUUGGAACUGAGACACGGUCCAA
rnacentral:rRNA from 1 species